rnacentral:rRNA from 1 species
AUGCAGUCGAGCGGUAGCACAGAGAGCUUGCUCUCGGGUGACGAGCGGCGGACGGGUGAGUAAUGUCUGGGAAACUGCCUGAUGGAGGGGGAUAACUACUGGAAACGGUAGCUAAUACCGCAUAACGUCGCAAGACCAAAGUGGGGGACCUUCGGGCCUCAUGCCAUCAGAUGUGCCCAGAUGGGAUUAGCUAGUAGGUGGGGUAAUGGCUCACCUAGGCGACGAUCCCUAGCUGGUCUGAGAGGAUGACCAGCCACACUGGAACUGAGACACGGUCCAGACUCCUACGGGAGGCAGCAGUGGGGAAUAUUGCACAAUGGGCGCAAGCCUGAUGCAGCCAUGCCGCGUGUAUGAAGAAGGCCUUCGGGUUGUAAAGUACUUUCAGCGAGGAGGAAGGCAUUAAGGUUAAUAACCUUAGUGAUUGACGUUACUCGCAGAAGAAGCACCGGCUNAACUCCGUGCCAGCAGCCGCGGUAAUACGGAGGGUGCAAGCGUUAAUCGGAAUUACUGGGCGUAAAGCGCACGCAGGCGGUCUGUUAAGUCAGAUGUGAAAUCCCCGGGCUCAACCUGGGAACUGCAUUUGAAACUGGCAGGCUUGAGUCUUGUAGAGGGGGGUAGAAUUCCAGGUGUAGCGGUGAAAUGCGUAGAGAUCUGGAGGAAUACCGGUGGCGAAGGCGGCCCCCUGGACAAAGACUGACGCUCAGGUGCGAAAGCGUGGGGAGCAAACANGGAUUAGAUACCCUGGUAGUCCACGCUGUAAACGAUGUCGACUUGGAGGUUGUUCCCUUGAGGAGUGGCUUCCGGAGCUAACGCGUUAAGUCGACCGCCUGGGGAGUACGGCCGCAAGGUUAAAACUCAAAUGAAUUGACGGGGGCCCGCACAAGCGGUGGAGCAUGUGGUUUAAUUCGAUGCAACGCGAAGAACCUUACCUACUCUUGACAUCCAGAGAACUUAGCAGAGAUGCUUUGGUGCCUUCGGGAACUCUGAGACAGGUGCUGCAUGGCUGUCGUCAGCUCGUGUUGUGAAAUGUUGGGUUAAGUCCCGCAACGAGCGCAACCCUUAUCCUUUGUUGCCAGCGGUUCGGCCGGGAACUCAAAGGAGACUGCCAGUGAUAAACUGGAGGAAGGUGGGGAUGACGUCAAGUCAUCAUGGCCCUUACGAGUAGGGCUACACACGUGCUACAAUGGCAUAUACAAAGAGAAGCGACCUCGCGAGAGCAAGCGGACCUCAUAAAGUAUGUCGUAGUCCGGAUUGGAGUCUGCAACUCGACUCCAUGAAGUCGGAAUCGCUAGUAAUCGUAGAUCAGAAUGCUACGGUGAAUACGUUCCCGGGCCUUGUACACACCGCCCGUCACACCAUGGGAGUGGGUUGCAAAAGAAGUAGGUAGCUUANCCUUCGGGAGGGCGCUUACCAC